UAUCAAUAUUGAAUAACAGAUGCAAUGGCUCGAUUGCUAAGCUUGAAGACACAAAUGCAUCAAUAUUGCCAUUUCUAACACGUGGAUGGGAAAUUAGGAUGAAAUUUUUGUUCAUUUUAUAUCUUUGUCUACAUCAUUCAUAUCUAGCUAUAUACAAUACCGCAUUUGAGAAGAAGGAAGCUACUGUUCUCCUUGGUGGGUGCUUCCAUUGGAGACGCUAAUCAGCCUUCUGAUGUUGAACCAACGUUGCCCUGUUCCUCAAAGCCCUUCACUGGGUCAGCAAAUGAUUGAGUAGAAGGCCACCUGCUUGACAUUAUAGUCUCAUCACCCAUUCUCAAUCUCUCAUCAAAUACGUCUCCGCCAUAAAGAUUCUUCUUAGAGAAGUAUUUUGCCAUCAAACGAUGGGUGUAGUCAGCUUCAUAUUUCCUGUAUUUGUCCAUGAUUUCUGCACUGUCAAGUAUCUGGAAAUGAGCUACGUCGGGCUUUUCCUGGGGGACAUCGGGAACACCAGUCUUGACAGCACCAUCUUCAACCUUUGGGGGCAUUAUUGGAGUCGCGGAGUUCUGGGAAUUGGAGGCAGAGGGUGGUGAUGGUGGUUGUGGAGG
rnacentral:misc_RNA from 1 species